GACGAACGCUGGCGGCGUGCUUAACACAUGCAAGUCGAACGGAAAGGCCCUGCUUUUGUGGGGUGCUCGAGUGGCGAACGGGUGAGUAACACGUGAGUAACCUGCCCUUGACUUUGGGAUAACUUCAGGAAACUGGGGCUAAUACCGGAUAGGAGCUCCUGCUGCAUGGUGGGGGUUGGAAAGUUUCGGCGGUUGGGGAUGGACUCGCGGCUUAUCAGCUUGUUGGUGGGGUAGUGGCUUACCAAGGCUUUGACGGGUAGCCGGCCUGAGAGGGUGACCGGCCACAUUGGGACUGAGAUACGGCCCAGACUCCUACGGGAGGCAGCAGUGGGGAAUAUUGCACAAUGGGCGGAAGCCUGAUGCAGCAACGCCGCGUGCGGGAUGACGGCCUUCGGGUUGUAAACCGCUUUCGCCUGUGACGAAGCGUGAGUGACGGUAAUUGGUGAAGAAGCACCGGCUAACUACGUG
rnacentral:rRNA from 1 species